GACCCCAGGUCAGGCGGGGGCUACC
rnacentral:rRNA from 1 species